AGAGCGAACGCUGGCGGCAGGCUUAACACAUGCAAGUCGAGCGGGCGGUAGCAAUACGUCAGCGGCAGACGGGUGAGUAACGCGUGGGAACAUACCUUUUGGUUCGGAACAACCCAGGGAAACUUGGGCUAAUACCGGAUAAGCCCUUACGGGGAAAGAUUUAUCGCCGAAAGAUUGGCCCGCGUCUGAUUAGCUAGUUGGUGAGGUAACGGCUCACCAAGGCGACGAUCAGUAGCUGGUCUGAGAGGAUGAUCAGCCACAUUGGGACUGAGACACGGCCCAAACUCCUACGGGAGGCAGCAGUGGGAAUAUUGGACAAUGGGCGCAAGCCUGAUCCAGCCAUGCCGCGUGAGUGAUGAAGGCCCUAGGGUUGUAAAGCUCUUUUGUGCGGGAAGAUAAUGACGGUACCGCAAGAAUAAGCCCCGGCUAACUUCGUGCCAGCAGCCGC
rnacentral:rRNA from 1 species